rnacentral:lncRNA from 1 species
UCGCAUAACACGUCCAUUUCGUGAUUCGCAUAACAGUUGUGUUGAUUAAGGUCCCACAUUAAAAAAAACAAUUAUCUAAUAUAGACAACUGUUAAUCGACUUUUUUUAAAUGUGAGACCCUAAUCAGCACAACCGUUAUGAUAGUUGUGUAGACAAGUUAAUUCUCUAUAAAUGAUUUAUAUCUUCGACUAAUUUUAUGUGGAAUAUUGAUUGCAAAUUUGCAAGUAACAUAAAAAUUAUGAACGAUAAAAUGGAGUCACAUAUCUCGUGUUUCCACAUACUUCUUAUAUUUAAUAUCAAAAUAGAUUUGUUGCUAAAGAUUAUCAUUGAUAAUCGAAAAUGGUGCAAAAACCCAUACAGAAAAACAUGAUGUAUCAUUGACAUUACAGGCCUCUCGCAUCACAUAUGAUGUAUCAUGAAAAACAUGCCAUAAUAUCCUAAUAAUUAAUAUUAUCAUAUUCCUUGGUAUCAAUAAACAUAAUGAACUAGUCAAAAAAAAAAAGACAAUGGCAAUCUCACUCACUAGUCACUACCAUUCCUCUGGAGGAAGGAAAGGCCCAUAGAGGUUUCUAAACAUGCCACAAAUUAUCAUUUUCACCAAACAUGUAUCCUUAGAAAUCAGUGACUAAUUAAUGUGAUGUACACAAAAAUAUCGAAAUAUCAAUAUAAUAAUAUCAAAUCAUUUGAAACAUCUAACAUUACUCAUACAGAAAAAAUAAAUAAACUAAAAACCCAG